rnacentral:lncRNA from 10 species
CGGCGGGCGGUGGCCCAAACUCUGGGAAAGAAGUCGAAAGAAAAAAAUCCUUCAAAGAAAGUCAGAAUCAGGCUUAUCUCCAGGAGUUGCAGGCUCUCCCCAUCACUCCCUCCAUGGCCUUCCAGUGGAGAGCUGUGAUCAGGGAGCGUGCCAUGCUCCAGGCCUGCCCCUUGGUCUCUCCUGUGACCCCCAAACCCCACAUUUUCCCACCCACCUGCCACCAUCUUUGCCUCCCAUUCUAGGCACAGGCUCAGGGCUACCCUACCUCCAGGCCUGGGCCUCCUGUUGUCCCUUCAGAUCCUUUAGGAGUGGUGUUGCCAAACUGGGAAACUGGAGAUGGCUUGUCCAGCCCCUUGCUUUAUAGAGGAGAACACUGAGGCCAGAGAAGGAAGGCUAUUGCCAGGUCAAAGUCACAGAGGCUAUAACGGUGGAUCCUGAACAAGAAUUCACAUUUCUGAUGCCCAUACAGUCCUGUUUACUGUAAGCAAGCCCUAAGUAAAUGCCUUUCUCUGUAAUCUGGCUAAAACACUCUAAAACAGUAGAGCAUUGCUGAAUCACCUCAAGUGACAGUCAUUCUUACAUUCAAGGAAAUGAUCCCUGCUGCUCCCUUCAGGGAAGGUGUAAGGGCAGGUGAAAAUAAUAACUACCCUGAAAUUCUGAAGCUGGAGGUAGAAUGGUCUGUGCUAACAAUGCCACCCUCAGCUGUUUAUCCUACAGAUGAUGAGACAGACGUGAGAGAUCAUUUUAAACUUAUGUGAAAAAAUACGCGAACCAAUCCCUAUCUGGAAGCCAUACUGCAAGUAACCUAAAUGCCCAUCUCUAGGUGCUGGAUACAUAAAUCCUGGGGCAUCCUUCCACUGGAAGAUAGACAGCUAUCAACAAGAAAGAGCAACUCUGAUUUUCUUAUAGAGAAAAAUCUCUAAAAGUAAAGUGAUUCAACUGAAGUAAAAUCUCCUAGCUAAGUACAAAUGAGAAAGUACAGAGUGUGGUACUGUUUGUGUACAAUAAAAGCAAGAUGAAUGUAUGCAACUGAUUCUACAUUUAUUGAAUGUUUUGGGAGGAAUACAUAAAUUGAUAGCAAUGCCUUCUUGUGGGUGGUGGUGAAAAAUGUGACUGAGGGACAGACCGG